rnacentral:lncRNA from 1 species
GAAUUUUUUGUCUCUCUGAAGUGAGGGCUUAAGGAAUAAUGAAAACUUCUGCUCAUACUUCUCAUGAAUGCUUUUAUUUUCAAGGUCAACCAAAUGUUUUUUCAGGAAAGACUAAUGCACUUUUCUUCAAGCAAUAUACCGUAAAAUGUUUCUCCAAGAUUAUCCUGUCUCUGAGCAGAAGACAACUGGGUCUAGAUGUUUUUAUUUUCUCCUUGCUGUUGCAAAAUUAGGUUUGAGUGACUCUGGGCCCGUCAUAAUGGAUUGUUCUCUCAUGAGGAACUCAGAGCUCAACUUCUCUUGAACUGUGAGCUCCUUGCAUCAGGGUCCAGGAGUUGCUCAUCUGCAUACCCUCGGCAUACACAGAGUUCAGAAAUCUGCAGAUGUCUUUGGGGGAAGAAAAUUUGUACUGCAGACCUCAAAAUUGUGUUUGUGUCGAACGGGGAGCCACAAAGCAGUGGACCAAUCUAACAGCUCAGAGGGUCUUUCCCUCUCUUCAGAGCACCUUGAUGGCAUCUGACCUCUGCAUCUUUCAGGAUGGAAGGGAAAUUACCUCAUCCUCAUUCUGUGCAUUCCAGAGAAUUAGCUCACCCGCAUUGGGAGACUGUCAAU